rnacentral:tRNA from 1 species
CGCCCGUUCGUCUAGCGGGCAGGACACCGCCCUUUCAAGGCGGCGACGAGGGUUCGACUCCCUCACGGGUGA